rnacentral:lncRNA from 1 species
CCCCCCCCCCUCAGGCCUUCCCUGCCAAGCUGGAGAGUCCUCACCCCAAAGCAUACCGAGUUCCCAGCACUGGCUUGGCCAGCGCAGCUGGAAAGCACAUCAGGGAGGGGUCAGUUCUUCCCCUGGCGUCAGGGACCUGAGUAAGCACAUGGCAGCGUCUGCUUGCAUUGUGUCUGUUUUAUGUUUUUAUAUUUACAUCUAUAUAUCUAUAAUUUUAUUAAAAAAAAGGAAAAAUC